rnacentral:rRNA from 1 species
UACAGAGGUGGCAAGCGUUGUUCGGAAUUACUGGGCGUAAAGGGCGCGUAGGCGGUUCGUUAAGUCCUGUGUGAAAUCCCCCGGCUCAACUGGGGAACUGCACAGGAAACUAGCGGGCUUGAGUUCGGGAGAGGGAAGCGGAAUUCCGGGUGUAGCGGUGAAAUGCGUAGAUAUCCGGAGGAACACCGGUGGCGAAGGCGGCUUCCUGGACAAUUGCUGACGCUCAGGCACGAAAGCGUGGGGAGCAAAAGGG